GACGAACUGUCCAAACGUUAUUCGGAAUCACUGGGCUUAAAGGGUGCGUAGGCGGUUACAUAAGUGGGGUCUGAAAUCCCGCAGCUCAACUGCGGAACUGGGCUUCAAACUGUAUGACUAGAGUGAGGCAGGGGUAAGCGGAACUUGCGGUGGAGCGGUGAAAUGCUUUGAUAUCGCAAGGAACACCGGUGGCGAAGGCGGCUUACUGGGCCUUUACUGACGCUGAAGCACGAAAGCCAGGGUAGCGAAC
rnacentral:rRNA from 1 species